GCGACCCCAGGACGGGCGAGGCCACCCGCCGAGUUUAAGCAUAUCAAUAAGGGGAGGAGAAG
rnacentral:rRNA from 1 species